GAUGAAGAACGCAGCGAAAUGCGAUAAGUAGUGUGAAUUGCAGAAUUCAGUGAAUCAUCGAAUCUUUGAACGCACAUUGCGCCCCUUGGUAUCCCGAGGGGCAUGCCUGUUCGAGCGUCAUUUCACCACUCAAGCCUGGCUUGGUGUUGGGCGACGUCCCCUUUGGGGACGCGCCUCGAAACGCUCGGCGGCGUGGCACCGGCUUUAAGCGUAGCAGAAUCUUUCGCUUUGGAAGUCGGGGCCCCGUCUGCCGGAAAACCUACUCGCAAGGUUGACCUCGGAUCAGGCAGGGAUACCCGCUGAACUUAAGCAUAUCAAUAAGCGGAGGA
rnacentral:misc_RNA from 1 species